AUGAACGCUGGCGGCGUGCCUAAUACAUGCAAGUCGAGCGAACAGAUGAGGAGCUUGCUCCUCUGACGUUAGCGGCGGACGGGUGAGUAACACGUGGAUAACCUACCUAUAAGACUGGGAUAACUUCGGGAAACCGGAGCUAAUACCGGAUAAUAUAUUGAACCGCAUGGUUCAAUAGUGAAAGACGGUUUUGCUGUCACUUAUAGAUGGAUCCGCGCCGCAUUAGCUAGUUGGUAAGGUAACGGCUUACCAAGGCAACGAUGCGUAGCCGACCUGAGAGGGUGAUCGGCCACACUGGAACUGAGACACGGUCCAGACUCCUACGGGAGGCAGCAGUAGGGAAUCUUCCGCAAUGGGCGAAAGCCUGACGGAGCAACGCCGCGUGAGUGAUGAAGGUCUUCGGAUCGUAAAACUCUGUUAUUAGGGAAGAACAAAUGUGUAAGUAACUAUGCAUGUCUUGACGGUACCUAAUCAGAAAGCCACGGCUAACUACGUG
rnacentral:rRNA from 1 species